AUGUUAAUUCCAGCUGUUGCAAUUGGUAAUAAUCCUACUGCUGUUAAAACAGAAUAUCUUCCACCUACAUCAUCAGGUACGAUAAACGUUUCAUAACCUUCGUUUGUAGCCAACUGUUUUAAAGCACCUUUUUCUUUAUCCGUUGUUGCAAAUAUACGUUUUUGUGCUUCUUCUUUACCGUAUCUUUCUUCAACUAAUUGUUUGAACAAUCUAAAUGCAACUGCUGGUUCUGUAGUUGUACCAGAUUUAGAAAUAACGUUU
rnacentral:sRNA from 1 species